rnacentral:rRNA from 1 species
AUUGAACGCUGGCGGAAUGCUUUACACAUGCAAGUCGAGCGGCAGCGCGGGGGCAACCCUGGCGGCGAGCGGCGAACGGGUGAGUAACAUAUCGGAACGUACCCAGUGGUGGGGGAUAACACAUCGAAAGAUGUGCUAAUACCGCAUACGACCUGAGGGUGAAAGGGGGGGAUCGCAAGACCUCUCGCCGUUGGAGCGGCCGAUAUCGGAUUAGCUAGUUGGUGAGGUAAAGGCUCACCAAGGCGACGAUCCGUAGCUGGUCUGAGAGGACGACCAGCCAAACUGGAACUGAGACACGGUCCAGAAUCCUACGGGAGGCAGCAGUGGGGAAUUUUGGACAAUGGGGGCAACCCUGAUCCAGCCAUUCCGCGUGAGUGAAGAAGGCCUUCGGGUUGUAAAGCUCUUUCGGCGGGAACGAAACGGUGUGAGUUAAUACCUCAUAUCAAUGACGGUACCUGAAGAAGAAGCACCGGCUAACUACGUGCCAGCAGCCCGCCGUAA